CGGCAUCAAAGAGGAGGUUUUGAAAAAGCCUUUAUAAAGCAUGAACAAAUAUUUGCACAUAAUGAAGUGCAAAGAUGGAGGGAUGCUUUAAAGGAAGUUGCAAACAUAGCUGGCUGGAGCUCUCAAGAUUAUCGAUAUGAAACAGCACUCAUUGAUUUUGUUGCUGAAAAGAUGAUGAGGUCAAAAUUAAAUGAUGAACUGCCGUUUGACUUAAAUGAUGAUGAACUUGUUGGAAUUGAUGUAAAAAUAGCAGAGUUUGAGUCAGUUCUGGCAAAUAUAUCGGAGGAAGUUCAAUUUAUAGGAAUAUGGGGAAUGGGAGGGUUAGGCAAAACUACUCUUGCGAAAAUUGUUUAUAAGAGAAUAUACAAAAACUACGAAGUUCAUUUCUUUC